rnacentral:rRNA from 1 species
UAACACAUGCAAGUCGAACGCAAACCUUCGGGUUUGAGUGGCGCACGGGUGAGUCACACGUGGGAAUCUGCCUGGUAGAGGGGGACAACUGUUGGAAACGACAGCUAAUACCGCAUACGCCGAGUGUCAAAUCUCGGGAAAGAUUUAUCGCUAUCAGAAGAGCCCGCGCCAGAUUAGGUAGUUGGUGAGGUAAGAGCUCACCAAGCCGAUGAUCUGUAGCUGGUCUGAGAGGAUGACCAGCCACACUGGGACUGAGACACGGCCCAGACUCCUACGGGAGGCAGCAGUGGGGAAUCUUGGACAAUGGGGGCAACCCUGAUCCAGCGAUGCCGCGUGAAUGAAGAAGGCCCUUGGGUUGUAAAGUUCUUUCACCUGUGACGAUAAUGACGGUAACAGGAGAAGAAGCCCCGGCUAACUCCGUGCCAGCAGCCGCGGUAAU